rnacentral:rRNA from 1 species
AACGAACGCUGGCGGCAUGCCUAACACAUGCAAGUCGAACGAGACCUUCGGGCUUAGUGGCGGACGGGGGCGUAACGCGUGGGAACCUGCCCUUAGGUUCGCAAUAACUCCCCGAAGGGGGUGCUAAUACCGGAGAAUCUAUUCCGUCCAAAGAGUUAUCGCCUUUGGCUGGGCGCGGGAUGGUUUAGCUAGUUGGUAGGGUAAAAGCCUAUCAAGGCGACGAUGCAUAGCUGGUCGGAGAGGAUGAUCAGCCACACUGGGACUGAGACCCGGCCCAGACUCGUACGGGAGGCAGCAGUGGGGAAUAUUGGACAGUGGGCGAUAGCCUGAUCCAGCAAUGCCGGGUGAGUGAUGAAGGGCUUAGGGUUGUAAAGCUCUUUUACACGGGGUGAUAAUGACAGUACCGGGAGAAUAAGCACCGGCUAACUCCGUG